rnacentral:rRNA from 1 species
GACGAACGCUGGCGGCGUGCUUAACACAUGCAAGUCGAACGGAAAGGCCCUGCUUUUGUGGGGUGCUCGAGUGGCGAACGGGUGAGUAACACGUGAGUAACCUGCCCUUGACUUUGGGAUAACUUCAGGAAACUGGGGCUAAUACCGGAUAGGAGCUCCUGCUGCAUGGUGGGGGUUGGAAAGUUUCGGCGGUUGGGGAUGGACUGGCGGCUUAUCAGCUUGUUGGUGGGGUAGUGGCUUACCAAGGCUUUGACGGGUAGCCGGCCUGAGAGGGUGACCGGCCACAUUGGGACUGAGAUACGGCCCAGACUCCUACGGGAGGCAGCAGUGGGGAAUAUUGCACAAUGGGCGGAAGCCUGAUGCAGCAACGCCGCGUGCGGGAUGACGGCCUUCGGGUUGUAAACCGCUUUCGCCUGUGACGAAGCGUGAGUGACGGUAAUUGGUAAAGAAGCACCGGCUAACUACGUG